GAUGAACGCUGGCGGCGUGCCUAAUACAUGCAAGUCGAGCGAACUGAUUAGAAGCUUGCUUCUAUGACGUUAGCAGCGGACGGGUGAGUAACACGUGGGCAACCUGCCUGUAAGACUGGGAUAACUUCGGGAAACCGAAGCUAAUACCGGAUAGGAUCUUCUCCUUCAUGGGAGAUGAUUGAAAGAUGGUUUCGGCUAUCACUUACAGAUGGGCCCGCGGUGCAUUAGCUCGUUGGUGAGGUAACGGCUCACCAAGGCAACGAUGCAUAGCCGACCUGAGAGGGUGAUCCGCCACACUGGGACUGAGACACGGCCCAGACUACUACGGGAGGCAGCAGUAGGGAAUCUUCCGCAAUGGACAAAAGUCUGACGGAGCAACGCCGCGUGAGUGAUGAAGGCUUUCGGGUCGUAAAACUCUGUUGUUAGGGAAGAACAAGUACAAGAGUAACUGCUUGUACCUUGACGGUACCUAACCAGAAAGCCACGGCUAACUACGUGCCAGCCGCCGCCGUAACAC
rnacentral:rRNA from 1 species